GACGAACGCUGGCGGCGUGCUUAACACAUGCAAGUCGAACGGAAAGGCCCUGCUUUUGUGGGGUGCUCGAGUGGCGAACGGGUGAGUAACACGUGAGUAACCUGCCCUUGACUUUGGGAUAACUUCAGGAAACUGGGGCUAAUACCGGAUAGGAGCUCCUGCUGCAUGGUGGGGGUUGGAAAGUUUCGGCGGUUGGGGAUGGACUCGCGGCUUAUCAGCUUGUUGGUGGGGUAGUGGCUUACCAAGGCUUUGACGGGUAGCCGGCCUGAGAGGGUGACCGGCCAAAUUGGGACGGAGGUCCGGCCCGGACCCCUCGGGGGGGGAGCAGUGGGGAAUUUUGCACAAGGGGGGGAAGCCUGAUGCAGCAACGCCGCGUGGGGGAUGACGGCCUUCGGGUUGUAAACCGCUUUCGCCGGUGACGAAGCGGGGGUGACUGUAAUGGGUAAAAAAGCACCGGCUAACUACGU
rnacentral:rRNA from 1 species